rnacentral:rRNA from 1 species
CCUUGACAUACUAAGAACUUUCCAGAGAUGGAUUGGUGCCUUCGGGAACUUAGAUACAGGUGCUGCAUGGCUGUCGUCAGCUCGUGUCGUGAGAUGUUGGGUUAAGUCCCGNAACGAGCGCAACCCUUUUCCUAUUUGCCAGCGGGUCAUGCCGGGAACUUUAAGGAUACUGCCAGUGACAAACUGGAGGAAGGCGGGGACGACGUCAAGUCAUCAUGGCCCUUACGGCCAGGGCUACACACGUGCUACAAUGGUCGGUACAAAGGGUUGCUACCUCGCGAGAGGAUGCUAAUCUCAAAAAGCCGAUUGUAGUCCGGAUCGCAGUCUGCAACUCGACUGCGUGAAGUCGGAAUCGCUAGUAAUCGCGGAUCAGAAUGCCGCGGUGAAUACGUUCCCGGGCCUUGUACACACCGCCCGUCACACCAUGGGAGUUUGUUGCACCAGAAGUAGGUAGUCUAACCGCAAGGAGGACGCUUACCACGGUGUGGCCGAUGACUGGGGUGAAGUCGUAACAAGGUAAGCGUAGAUGA